rnacentral:sRNA from 1 species
AGCACUUUUGUGUAUGCUUCUAAAUUUCUACAUGGGACUUUUUCCUUCUCUAUUGUGUGGUUUCUUUUUGUAUCCAGGAAAUAAACAUGAUGAUGGUACGCAAAGUGAUUCAGAGAACGCUGGGGCUCACAGGCGCUGUAGCAAACGUGCAACUCUUGAGGAACACUUAAGACGCCACCAUUCAGAACACAAAAAGCUACAGAAGGUCCAGGCUACUGAAAACCAUCAAGACCAAGCUGUUACUAGCUCUGCGCAUCACAGAGGGGGGCAUGGUGUUCCACAUGGGAAAUUGUUAAAACAGAAAUCAGAGGAGCCAUCGGUGUCAAUACCCUUCCUACAAACUGCAUUAUUAAGAAGUUCAGGGAGUCUUGGGCACAGACCAAGCCAGGAGAUGGAUAAAAUGUUAAAAAAUCAAGCAACUUCUGCUACUUCUGAAAAGGAUAAUGAUGAUGACCAAAGUGACAAGGGUACUUAUACCAUUGAGUUAGAGAAUCCCAACAGUGAGGAAGUGGAAGCAAGAAAAAUGAUUGACAAGGUGUUUGGAGUAGAUGACAAUCAGGAUUAUAAUAGG